rnacentral:rRNA from 1 species
UACGUAGGGGGCAAGCGUUGUCCGGAGUUACUGGGCGUAAAGCGCACGCAGGCGGUCUCUUAAGUUUGGAGUGACAGUUGGUGGCUUAACUGCCAAAGUGCUUCGAAAACUGAGAGACUUGAGGGCUUCAGAGGGACACGGAAUCCGGGUGGAGUGGUGAAAUGCGUAGAGAUCCGGAGGAACACCAAAGGCGAAGGCAGUGUCCUGGGGAGUACCUGACGCUCAGGUGCGAAAGCCAGGGAGCGAACGGG